CAUUUAUCGGUUAGAAAGACAGCAUGAAAAGUUCGCGUGUGUGCUUCUCGACAACUCCUUUUUGUUAGUUAUUUGCAGGCAUUCCCCGUACUGUGAAAUCAUACGAAGGGAGUUUCAGAGUGAUGAUCCAAAUGUUUGCGGUCUACAGCGCAACGCUGAAAGUUACGAUCCUGCUGUUGGUGAUCUACUCUACAAGCUGGAGUCAGUCACGGCAUCAAAGGAAUGAAGGUAAACUCUGUUUCCAAUGCUUUGAAAUAUUUUCAUGUAUGCCAACCUGGUCUCCCACCUUGUCAUAUUUGAGGGUGUCUUGGAAUAUGAUGUUGCACUCUACUUGAAGUAUUUCAUUAAGAAAAAAAAAAGGUUAACAUACUCAGAUUUGAACCGGUGCAUCAAGCAAUUCAAGUACAAAGGAUCUGAUACUAACAAAUCCUCAACUCUGAGGUGCCCAGACUUUCCGGUCAGGCCAUUCAGAAGUGGAAUUGCUUGAGGUUGCUGCCUGGUGACAAAGUGUGUAACUGGUGACCAAGUGCAAAAUCCAGAAGAUGUGUAGCAGUUAACUCUCAAGCUUAAAUAUAUUGUUUGGUUGUCACACAUAUAUGAUAUCAAGACAUCAAAGAGAUGUUGCUGCUUCUGCUACAGAGGACUCAUGCCUGGCAGGACAGGUGCAGAUGGACCAAGUUCCCUUGACCCCCACUAUUCUUGUGUGUGACUGUGGUUUCAAACCGCCAGAUUGAUAACAACAAGGAGAUGUUCACGGCUAUGCAAAUGAAAUUGGAUCGAAUUGAAGACCUGCUACAAAAAGUUCUUACAAAAAUGGGAUAAAAGGUCUCAAGAGUAGAGGCGCAAAUUGAAUGCAGCUACUUGCAAGACCAAACAAUCCCAAUCUUUUCUGCUUUCGGCUCCCUCAACCGGAACGGGCCUUGGCCAAGCCCGUUGCUGGAAAAACAACUCCCCUGAAGAUUGCUGCAGUGAGACUCUCUCUCAUUCCCUUCCCCCUUUCCACAGACACCUGUGGAUUGUUGUCUCUGUCCAGGACCCUUUCAAGGCUGUCUCCAUGGCAACGACAAUCUUGCGAACUGAGAAUCUGUCUGAUUGUGGCCUGGGGGAAGGAACAACCCAGGCCUACUCAUACAUGAACUUUGACAUACAUACAUGAACUUUGCAUACAUAUACACGUACAUACUACACACAGAUAUGCAUCCACUCCCCCACCCCCCAUCCCACGCCUUCGCCUCGUCUGCUUCGUACCCCCCAGUAUGACAAGACAGGGUCUGUGACUGGCGCCUCAACGGGCUGCUGGGCCAGCUGGCUGCUUGUCUGUGCUGGCUUACCUUCUCCCCCCCACUGGCUGGGCUUAGAUCACCCAGUC